UAACAAGGUUUCCGUAGGUGAACCUGCGGAAGGAU
rnacentral:ncRNA from 4 species